UACGAAGGGGGCGAGCGUUGUUCGGAUUUACUGGGCGUAAAGGGCGCGCAGGCGGUCUUGAAAGUCAGGCGUGAAAGCCCCGGGCUUAACCUGGGAAUUGCGCUUGAUACUCUGAGACUGGAGUACGGGAGAGGGAGAGUGGAAUUCCCAGUGUAGAGGUGAAAUUCGUAGAUAUUCGCAAGAACACCAGUGGCGAAGGCGGCUCACUGGCCCAUUACUGACGCUGAGGCACGAAAGCGUGGGAGCAAACAGGG
rnacentral:rRNA from 1 species